CUACUACCAGAAUGCACCGCGCGGCGCAUCUAUGAGCUCGUCCGCGUUCUUAAAACUUCGGAUGAUCUGGGAUCAGAUUUAAUAUUCGCGCGCAACCGACGCAACAGGCGAGACGGGAGCGCGUACAAUGAUCUCAGGUUACCGUCACUGCACUGUCCCUGUCAAACAACAACUCAAACCAGCCUUAGAUGGCUUAUUGGUCUCCACACCUGGAGCCCAUACUACAUCGCCAUGCUUCCAGAUAUAAAGUGGACUUGCAUGCUCCCGUGGUUUCCUGUAAACCACAUGACUGAAACAACUUGUUCAGACUUGCUUCCCCUCCAGCAAUUUCAGGUAAAGAUGGGCUGUUACAGAUGGGAAGCACUAACUGUCUUGUUCCCACUUUUGCUGUAUUUAGCGUUCAAGAAUCUUAACUGGCUUUACUCAAUACAUUAAUCCAUGAUAAUUAUGUCAAACUAAUGCUUUACAUUUCAAGGUGAGUAACUUUAGUAAAAGACUUGAAUGAAGACAUGAAUGACUCUGAUAACAGGCAUAAACACAAGUAUGCAAUUGCAUAGAAAAAACCUGUCAAAAUACAUAAUAGAUGCAUAUGAUAUGAUCUAACCUAAAUAUUGAUAACAAUAGCUGUAUUUUCCCUUUAUUGCAUGACCUGCUUCAUGCAGUUUUGGACUUGUAACUAGGUCAAUUAUUGCUUAUACAGCUUAAAAUCUUAAAGAUGAGCUUCAGAGCACCAUUGUAGCAAAGUAGGUUAGAGCUUCUUCUUCUUGUUCUUCUUCCGCUCUAUGGCUGCCCAUUGAACCGCUUGUGGGAAAGUUAUGAAAUUUGACACACUGAUAGAGGACAGUCUCAACAUUAACCACAACAAAUUUGAUGUCUUAUAUUCAAACUCUCUAGCGCCACCACUUGUCCAAAUUUGCAGUCAUGUUUAUGCUAAUAACUUUUGAACCAUAAGGUCUAGAAGAAAAAUCCUUUUCCCUCUGAUUCCUAGGCUAAUGCAGAGUCGAAUGGACUCAUUUGACUCUUUCGUCAAAUUGGCUCAGAUCAUCUUCAGACCAUGCUGGUAAAAAGUUAUCAAAAGCUUUUUGAUAGACCCAUCAGUUCUCGAACACCGCACAAACGAAUUUGACAAAAAGCUUGCCAAAUCGGAGGUUAUGUCUUUCCAAUGUUUUGUUGUAUUAAGACCAAACUUAGUGUGUGUUAUGAUAAACUUGACCUGAGGUUACUUGCAGAGUUCUGCCUCAGUGCCACCUAGUGGUCUGGAGACUUGUCUAUUUAGAUUCAGAGCAGCAUACUGAGUGAAACAAUAUACAAUUUUUUGUCAAAAUUUUUUAUAUUUUAUGAAUGUAUUGACAUAUCGCUUUUAAACUCUGUAUGUGUAUU